GGGGCCUUAGCUCAGCUGGCAGAGCGCCUGCUUUGCAAGCAGGAAGUCAGGGGUUCGAAUCCCCUAGGCUCCACCC
rnacentral:tRNA from 1 species